UUUGAGAUAGUAAUGAUAGAAAGGUGGGAGAGAGAUGGGGGAUGAGACGCAGCAAAUGGCCACAGGUC